CUACGAGAUUGAUCAUAGUGCAACGUCUAGGCAAGGAACAGAUGUUGCAAGAGUUGCCCUGCUAAAUCAGAUCAAUAGGAUAGAACUGCCUUGUGCAGAAUAAUUUGGUCUAGUGGUGUAGAAUAUGGCCUCUGUGUUUUAUUUCCAGUUUUAACAUGUGCCUGUUUAGACUUGGUGUGCUACUGCUAGCUGAACCUUUGAUGUUCUGUUGAACAAAUACUACCUCCGUAAACUAAUAUAAGAGCGUUUAGAAUACUAAAGUAGUAAUCUAAACACUCUUAUAUUAGUUUACAGAGGGAGUAGUAAUGAGGUGCUGAGUAGUCGUUUGUAUUAUUAUGAGAAUCCCCAUUAUCUACAGGACUUCGCUUGGGCAACCGGCCUCUCUAUCAACUUCACCAAAACAACGUUAGUGCCUAUGCAUGUCGCACCUAUACUGUCGGCAUCCAUUGCAUCUACCAUGCAAUGCACAACCUCCUCCUUCCCACAGAUCUAUUUAGGCCUACCCUUAGCACCCACUCGCCUGCCUUCAAACGCCUUCCUACCCAUCAUCGAACGAUGUCAAAAAUUCUUAACAGGUUGGCGGGCAAAGCUCCUCUCCAAAGGAGACAGGCUGAUAUUACUAUCUGCAGUCCUAGAUUCAAUCUUGGUCUAUUUUAUGUCUGUCUUCCUCAUUCCCAAAAGCGUUCUUAAAACCCUCGAUUCCAUUAGACAUGCUUUCUUCUGAGCUGCAGAAGAAACUUGUACUGGUGCUCAAUGUUUAGUUGCCUGGAAAAAUGUCUGUAAACCAAAAAUGUGUGGUGGUCUAGGCCUAAAAAACCUGCAUAAACAGAACAAAUGCUUGCUCAUGAAAUUCGCUGUCAAAGCUCUUAAUCCAGAACAAUCUCCAUGGCUUGACUGGAUCACUUUGCAACACCCAAAUGCCCUCCUCACCCCACAAAACAGUCACUCAUUUAUCUGCCAAACAAUAAACCAGCAACUACCAGCCCUCCAUGCCAUCUCCUUUGUACUCACAAACUCUGGCACCAACACAUAUUUCUGGUUAGACAAAUGGAUCCACCAAACACCCCUCGCCACUUUAUUCCCAUGCCUAUACUCUCAUACCACUACACCCCUCGCUCGUGUGGCUACUGUUUUUAACUAUGGUUUAGAUUCAAUCCUGCGGAACCGCCUAACCUCUAAUGCCACUGCCGAGUUGUGCUCUGUGUUGUCUCUCCUGCAGGAUUUCCAGCGGUCGCCUGGACCAGACGAACGCUACCUCUCCGGUGGCUUGUGGUUCUCUACCAAGGCCGCUUACUCACUGUCCAUGGGUGACUCCACCGAGCAUGAUAUGCACUCCAUCCCCAUCUGGUCCUCAUGCAUCCCAACAAGAGUGAAGAUUUUUGCAUGGUUAUUGUUCAGGGAUCGAUUAAACACCAAGUGCAACCUACUCCGCAAGCACAUGGUCUCUGAUGCGCUAUGUCCCCGCUGUGGUUUUGAUGGUGAAAACCGAUUACACUUGUUCUUGGCCUGCCCGCUCGCUCAGAGGAUCUGGCAUAGGGUAGGCCUAUCACCCUCAGCAAACAUCAACGAACUCUGGGACUGCCGCCUACCUUUCCAACUGAAUGCGCCGGCCUGGCACUCAAUCCUCCUCAUCAUUCUAUGGAGGAUUUGGGACUCAAGAAAUGCCAUGACCUUCAAGCAGCAAGACCAUCAUAGCAUCCUCACUCUUAGAAGAAUCAUUGAUGAUCUAGCGCUCUGGACUCACAGGAUGAAGAAACCAGCGCAAAAGCAGGCCGCCUCCUUAUGGCGUUCCUACCUCUUAUCACGACUACACGUGCUUAUGUAAUUUCACCUUCUAAUCGGUCGAACGAUGGGUUACAAACUUGAGAAAUAUAUUCAGGUGGGGAGCUCCCCCCCGAUGAUUUUUCAAAAAAAAAAAGAAUCCCCAUUAUCAAAGAAGAAAACAUCACAGCUAAUUAUGAUCGUAAUUGACAUUUCAUUUGCACAUGUAGCAUUAUCUCCUGGAUUGCUGCUUAAUUUGCUUUUUACGUUCUUUGCUAUAAGUAGAGAUUAAGGUAAAACUUGUGGCAGAUGACCAGGACGCAUGUAUGCAUUGAGCAAGCAUUUUUUAAAACCUAAAAUCAGAUAUUUUUGUAUGCAAUUAUAUAUUGGAUACCUGAAUUAUGGCCUUAUGGGUCUGAUUGUGUUGGUGGGAUCAAUACACAUGCCGAUGAAUUACGCGGCAAGCACAGCAUGCAAAUAAAAAAGAGGAGAUGGGCGUGAAUAUAUAAGGGGACAUCAAGUUAAUAUUAGAGUGAAGAUGAAUUAUGUUAUGAUCCUGUUUGGCAUUCACCUGAACCUUGUUGUCUCUUUUCCUGUUGUGGGGCCCUAAUCUUGCUUGCCAACUGAGCAAAGUAUCACAGCAGUUCUCUCUGACUAAUUAGGUUGUUUUCCAGGAAAAGCUUCAAUUGGAGAAGCUGGCAUCUUUCAUUCAGAAGUUUUUAGAUGAAGAUCUUCAAGUUUGAUCAGUGUCAUUGGUUGCAGGAUAUCUUGUUUAACCACUCCUUAGGAUCUGGCAACUAUCAGCCUAAAUUGUUGUACACAGCAUGCCACCCGAUUUUUUUAGUUGAUCCGGUUCAGCAUUGUUCACCCAGGUCCGCUUGUACCUUCUUUUUUUAGGGUUGAAAAGCACUUUAUUCAAUCAGUUGUUGGACGGGAUACAAAUAAUGCCGGACCUACUAGAUAGCCAUAUGUGCCUUCCAAGAUCUAAAGUAGUAGCUGCUUUAGACAAAUUAUGAGCUUCAACAUUACAAUAUCGCUUCUCAUGGAUGAUAUGCACCGAGGUAAAAUCCUCCCAUCUUCUUCUGAAUUCCCUUGAUGAUUACUCCUGAUUUUCCCAGAUGGACACCUUAGAUAUGCUUAACUGGAGCUGCACAAGCAGUAGAUAUAUCAAGACGCUGGCAACGAAUAUCUGCAGCCAAAGAUAGAGCUUCACUGCACGUCGUCGAUUCCAGGAUUUCCGGAUCAAUCAUAUCAGCUAUACAUACCGCCGAAGCUCCAAGAUAUGUAUCAGUUUCAUCUCCACAGAUCGCCCCUAUUGGACCCCUGUCUCCAUGUCUUCCCACAGCUGCAUGGACAUGUAUUUUGACUGAUCCCCGGCUUGGGGCACACCAUUUUCUUUCGGCUGGAGAAGGUUUCGAUUAAGUCGUACACCAUAUAGCAUUGUAUAAAUGAGAAAGUGGAAUGGCAUGGUGACAUAGUUUCAAGACGUUUCAUCCUUGGUGUUUCAGGCCAUGCCCCGUUCCUUUUCUUUUGCCUGUUAAUAAUUUUUCGCUGGUAAGCUGUUACAACACCUUGUAUCUUUGCCGUUCUCUAUCUUUUUUCAUUUCUUUGUAAGUGGCUCUUGUUGUAAUCAUGGCCUGUUGAUGGCUUUUCAAUUUCACUUCUGGACAAGAUUUAUUCCCUACACGCAGACUGGCUCCACACUUAGGCGUUGAGCUAAACUGACCCCAACAAGGUUGGAUCGUCCUGGCGCAAUGCAUCUGCAUGGGUGAGAUGGGCGGCGCAUUGCUCCUCAAUGACAACCAAGGCUGUGUGCACAUUAUUGAUCCCCAAACAGGGGCAAUGGAGAUGGUUCAAAGCUGGUUUGGUGGUGUUGUUGUCGUUGCUAUCCCGUUUGAGAUCUACUGGCCGGCCUUCUUCAUGUAUCACUUGCAGGCGGUAGCAUUGAGAGGACUAAAUUUGGAGGAGCUAUAUUGGACUCUUUUUGGGAGGAAUUGCUUGGGCAAUUACUUUUCGGUUAGUUGUACUUCAUGUGGCGCACAAGAGCUACAAGAGUGUUAAGUUUUGUGUGUGGCAGAUGUUCUUUCUUUUGAACGUGAAGUGUGGCAAACUUGAUGGACUCGCAAAUUAAUUAAUAUCAUGGACACCGGCUACGGCUUCUUUGUCGGAUCAAGAUGAUGAAAUUGCACAAGAGCUACACUGGUAGAAAAAGAGGCUUCCGUCCAGCCCCAUUAGUCACGAAACUGUAGGAACCGCGACUAAUGAAGUCUUUAGUCGCGGUUCGGCGGACGAACCGCGACCAAAGGCCUGGGCCCAGGGCGCUCGGUGGCCAGCUGGUGCACGUGAAGGGAUUUAGUCGCGGUUGGCCAGGCCAACCACGACUAAAGGUGCCCAAAGGCCUUUAGUCGCGGUUGGCCAGGCCAACCGCGACUAAAGCUCCUCCCCUAUAUAUACCAGUUCAGCACGCUCACUUAGCCAUUUGGUGCCACUUCUCUUCACAAGCUUCACAAGGGGGUGUAGGUUUGCUUUUGGUUCCUCUUAUGCACACAAGGUGUUUGAUGAAAUGCCCCAAGAGGGUGAAACAAACAUGAUAUGAAGUGUUGGAGCCACACUUGAGGUUCCUCAGUUAUUUUUUCCUCCUCGAUCGCGGUUAGCAACUUGAACCUUUCAUGCAUGUGUGUCAUUGAUAAAAUAUGCAUGUGUGUUGUUCAUUGUUUAAUUUCUAUUGUUUAUAGCUAGUUAGUUUAACAAAUGCAUGAUGGUUAAUUAUAUAUUUUAUAUUAUAAUAAUGCAGAUGAAUCGGCAAUGGAUGUACGGUAACCGACUCUCCCGCGAGUUCACUACGGGUUUGAAAGAUUUCCUCGUAGUGGCUAAUGCGAACAAGCAGAAGGGUUUUGUUAUCUGUCCAUGUGUUGACUGUAAGAAUCAGAAGGGUUACUCUUCCUCAAGAGAAGUUCACCUGCACCUGCUUCGGCACGGUUUCAUGCCAAGCUAUAAUUGUUGGACCAAGCAUGAAGAAAGAGGGGUUAUAAUGGAAGAAGAUGAAGAAGGGGAUGAUUUCAUCGAUGAAAGCUAUCUUGCUCAUUUCGGUGAUACUUUCAUGGAGGAUGCUGAAGGUGAAGGGGAAGGUGAAGGGGAAGGUGAAGGUGAAGAAGAGGCACGUGAUGAGACCGUUGAUGAUCUUGGUCGGACCAUUGCUGAUGCACGGAGACGCUACGAAACUGAAAAGGAGAGGGAGAAUUUGGAUCGCAUGUUAGAGGAUCACAGAAAGUCGUUGUACCCCGGAUGCGAUGAUGGUCUGAAAAAGCUGGGCUGCACACUGGAUUUGCUGAAAUGGAAGGCACAGGCAGGUGUAGCUGACUCGGCAUUUGAAGUUGCCGCCGUCGUCGUCGCUGCUGGCGGGGGAUAUCGCCGGCCGUGAUGUAGUCCAUGACGCUCUGCAGAGUCCGGCCGUACCACCAUAGCCGACGGCCGGCCUCUGGUAUAUUAUUUUGAAUUGAAUUAGUUUUAUUUUUCUUAAUUUUUUGAUAUAUUAUUUGUAUUUUUAGAAUUUUGAAUUGAAUUAGUUUUAUUUUUCUGAAUUUUUUGAUAUAAUAUUUGUGUUUUUAACAUAUUGAAUUGAAUUAGUUCUAUUUUUCUGAAUUUUUUGAUAUAUUAUUUGUAUUUUUAACAUAUUGAAUUGAAUUAGUUUUAUUUUUCUUAUUUUUUUGAUAUAUUAUUUGNNNNNNNNNNNNNNNNNNNNNNNNNNNNNNNNNNNNNNNNNNNNNNNNNNNNNNNNNNNNNNNNNNNNNNNNNNNNNNNNNNNNNNNNNNNNNNNNNNNNNNNNNNNNNNNNNNNNNNNNNNNNNNNNNNNNNNNNNNNNNNNNNNNNNNNNNNNNNNNNNNNNNNNNNNNNNNNNNNNNNNNNNNNNNNNNNNNNNNNNNNNNNNNNNNNNNNNNNNNNNNNNNNNNNNNNNNNNNNNNNNNNNNNNNNNNNNNNNNNNNNNNNNNNNNNNNNNNNNNNNNNNNNNNNNNNNNNGCCCGUCGGCCUCCCUCGCCCACCGCGCCGCCUCUCGCCCGCCCUCAACGCCGCCGGCCGGCCUCGCUGCCGCGCGCGCACGCGCGCGCCUCUCUACAGAGAGCGAGAUCGUGGAGAGAGAGAGAAUUUUUUCUUUUUUUUCUUUUUUUUGUUCUUUUUAAUUUUAACUAGUUAAUUAGUUUAACAAAAACGGUAAAACAACUUAAAACUUGAUAAUUAACAAAAAAACCGUAAAAUUUGAUAAUUAACAAAAAAACCGUAAAAUGCACGCGGUGUUUUUUUAGGGAUCGAGAGGGGGCGGCGAGGGUUAUACAUGUGUGUUGUCCUCGCCUCCCUCUCCGUGACGCCGUCGUCUGCCGCCCCGUCUCGCGCUCUAUCGCGACACCCUCUCCCACCCCUUCCUCGCCCCCUCCUUUUGCCACCGCCCUUUCGCCACCGCCACCGCCACCGCCCCCCUUCUUCACUUAAUUAAUUUGUUUUUACUACAUGUUUUCAGGACUGACAUAAUGGCGGACGAUAGAGCUGACCCGAUUAUGGACAACUAUGAUCCGGACGGUGAAGCACAUAUGUUCGGCAUCAUAAACGGCGAUAUUCUAUAUGUGCCGACCGGACAAGAAGAAGAUGAUAUCUCUUCUUAUCUGAACCUUGACGGUGAAGAUGAAGGGCGCCGUCAGCAAGAUGAUGCCGAACAAACGUCGAUAAACGACGAUCUUCAAAUGGAAGUAGCAACCACCUCCGGCGCCGAGGUAUAUAUAUACAUUGAGCCUCUGGUGAUACAAACUAACUGAUUUGAAUAAAUAUGUGUGUACUAAUGCGCGCGACUCUCUUUCUUAUUUUAGCCCUCGGCCGGAUCGUCGAAACAAUCGAGUACGUCGUCAAAGUGUGGCGCAACCAAGACGAUGAAACAAGGAGAAACAUGCACCAUCGAGGUUGUCGACAGUGCAACCGGCAGGCCGCUGGAGCCCCGCAAGAACGCCACCAAGUUUGUCAACCAAUGCGGAGCCAUUGUUAGAGAUGCAUCGGAAAUGGAUGUGAUGAAGAAAACCGUGAGUGUACUAGUAGCCGAAAGAGAUGCAGCUCGGGCGCAGCAUGAAGAUCAUCCAGCGGAUCUCAGAAGCCAGCAGCGGAGAAGCAGUGUGGCUUCCACGGAGGCCCCACCGGCUAGUGCAGAUGCACCGACGAUCGAAAUUACUGCACCGGAGCCUCUGGUGGUCGAAAUUACUGCACCGGAGCCUCUGGUGGUCGAAAUUACUGCACCGGAGCCUCCUCGCUACCCCGUGGACAUAGUCCAAGGGUUUGAGGACCUGGAGAUUGACAUUGCUACACCUGAAGGGGAGAAAAGACUUGAAGAUGUCAAGCGCCAUUUCAUUCUAUGGCAAAAGAAGUUUAUCAAGUUUCCAGGCGAGGCGCCAAGGACAACAAGUCCACCCCCCUACGGUGGUGGUGGUGGCGGUGGUGGUGGUGGUGGUGGUGGUGGUGGUGGCGGUUCACCUACACCUCCGUCACGUCAGCCGACGCCCCCCAGUCCACAACGUCCGGCGGGUGAUCAGACGCCGCCCCCCAGUCCUCGUCCGGCGGGUGAUCAGACGCCGCCCCCCAAUCCACCUCCGGCAAAGAAGCAGAAGCAGUCCUGGAUUAUUAACCCGGACCCUUAUGUACCUAAGACCACAAAGGUACCGGAGCCAUCACUGAAGCCUCUCCCCACAAGGCCUUGGGAACGUAGUGCCGAGGAAACUGCCGCGGCCGCGGCUGCUGAUCAUGAGAAAUGGAAGGCGGACUGCAAGAAGAAAAGAGAGCCCGAUCCCAAGCCAGUAUUUUCUGAUGAGCAAAAGAAGUGGGCUAAGUCAUUUUUGAGCACACCGUCCCAAGCCGCGAAGAAUCUGCCUGACGACUAUGCACGUGAACUUCGUAGGCAGGCACUCAUGUUGAAGGAGAAGAAAGAGCGGGCGGAGAACCAGGAGAACAAAGCCUUGGAGGAGGCCGAGAAAACGGAAUUAGAAAGUAAAAAAAGCGGGAAACGAGUUGCCCAGCUCGGGGAACAAAGUAAACAAUCGAUUGCCCCGCUUAUAGUGAAAGCCGCCGGUCCGGAUGACCCCGAUAUCAUAGCAGCUGCGGCAGCACAUGGAUUGACUGUAACGAGUGCCAGAGAACAAGCGGCCAACUUAGGUAUUACUCUUCGUGAACUGUUAGGCCUUGAUGAGGCGCCAGUGAAGGAGGUAGUAAUUACAUAUGUGAAGAAUGGGCCUCUCGUCGAGCCUACGCAGGAAGAGGAUCUACCUCCACAAAUGAAAGGUCUGCUGAAAUGGUACAAGGGUUACAUAAAAAAUAAAAACGCCAAAGAAUAUAUUUAUGCGGAAGUUAGAUAUGAGCAUCACUUCAAACAUUACUAUGUACAAAUUCAUCUGAGUGAAUUGUUCCAGCUUUUCAAUCUGCGCGAGCUCGACAAAUCUAUCAUCAGUUGCUACGUUCUGUAAGUGAUUUAUUUCUACCCCAUCUCGUUCAUAUUGCCUGCACUAUAUAUAUGUCCUAACUAUAUUGUUGUGUCCGCUAUUAUACAUGCAGAAUGAAGAUUAAGGAAUGCAGAGUAAGGAACAUCCAUGAUGUUGGGUUCAUUGACCCACACAUCGUUAAUGGAUAUGUGUUGGAGCAUCACCCCGCCGACAUGGAGGUAGACCUGUGGCAGUUUCUUACAAAGCAGGAACUCAAAAGUGAUAUUCUAUUUCCUUACCAUUUUGGGUGAGUGUUUCUGUCUUGAGCACAUUCUCUUUUGUUUACUCCAUGCAUGGUAUGUGGCCGGCUAAUCGAUGAGUUAUGCAUGACGUACUGUGCAUGUAUCGUGUCCGCAGGUUCCACUGGAUUCUGCUAGUAAUUAAAGUUGACACCUCAGAAUGUCUCGUCCACGACUCUCUGAAUAAGGAUCCAAAGCUUUGGGGCGGCAUGAGAAGAAUGCUGCAGAAGUAAUUAUUUUCAUUCAUUUGCGCUCUAUAUCGAUCGGCCUAUUUCGUUCAUUUCCUAAUAUCAAGUAACUAAUAACUCUCUUGUUCAUUUAAUUUUCUUUGCCUCGUAGGGUUUGGAGACGGUUCGUAGAUACAAAGGUCGGUGAAUUCAAAAAAGAGCUAGAAUUCAAAAGGUCAAAGGCUAAGAAUGAUGAGGAUAUUCAGCCAGCGGGGACCAAUCUAUGUGCAUACUAUGUCUGUGAGAUGAUCCGGAGAUACACCUCUGAGCGGCGGGUUCCGAGUGAUACCAAUGCUCAGAGGAAUAACCUCCGGAUGAUGCUUAGUCCAGAAGCUCGCUUCCGACCACUUCAAGAGGAGCUGGAUGGUUCAGGAGGGAAGUCCUCCAUCCUAAAGGAGAACACCAUUACGAGGACGUAGAACUUUAUAUGCAUUAAAUUAUGUAUGGAAACUUGUUCAAAAUUGUAUAUGGUCAUCCGAUGAUAUUGAAUAUAUAUUUUAUAUUCCUCUUGAAUUCUUUUUGGUUCUAAUUUCAAAUUUGUUUGAAAUUGUACAUUCAUAUGCAUGUAUGUAGUACCGUAGAAUAUGUGAAACUCCUUCAAAAUUAAAAUAAAGCACAAAAGAAAUAAAACAAUACAAAUUAAACAGAAAACAGGUUUAGGGGGGGNNNNNNNNNNNNNNNNNNNNNNNNNNNNNNNNNNNNNNNNNNNNNNNNNNNNNNNNNNNNNNNNNNNNNNNNNNNNNNNNNNNNNNNNNNNNNNNNNNNNNNNNNNNNNNNNNNNNNNNNNNNNNNNNNNNNNNNNNNNNNNNNNNNNNNNNNNNNNNNNNNNNNNNNNNNNNNNNNNNNNNNNNNNNNNNNNNNNNNNNNAAACCUGCGGCGGCCUUUAGUCGCGGUUGGCUAGAAGAACCGCGACUAAAGGUCCUCCGCCCCGACGGCCGCCUGGCGCCCACGUGGACGGGCCUUUAGUCGCGGUUCUUAAGCAACCGCGACUAAAGGGGGGGGCCUUUAGUCGCGCCUGUUUGGUCGCGGUUGCGCAACCGCGACUAAUGGCAGUUGCGAACCGCGACCAAAGGCCCUUUUUCCACCAGUGCUACACAGUUUAAUUUGUGCUCUCUGGGUUCUUUCGGGCUGUCUGUUUUGACAUGUUCUUGUUUAGACAUGGUGUGCUAGCUGAACAAAUAGUAAUGGAUGUUGCCGUCUGUGUUAUGUGAAUCUCCAUUAUCUAAAGAGGAAAGUUU
rnacentral:lncRNA from 1 species